rnacentral:tRNA from 1 species
GCCACCGUGGCGGAAUUGGUAGACGCCGCAGACUUAAAAUCUGCUGUCCUUCGGGGCGUACCGGUUCGAGUCCGGUCGGUGGUA